rnacentral:lncRNA from 1 species
AUAUAGUUAUUUGGUUGUGAUUCUCAGGAUCAGGUGGUUAUACCUAAAAAAUUCUUAAGAUCAGAUAAUUACAUCCAAAUAGUAUUGACAGCUAUGGCCAAAUGGUAUUGAUAGCUAUGGCCAGAUAGUAUUGACAGCUAUGGCCAGUUGACAUCUGCCUUUAUAAUCUGAGCCCGAUCAAUCUGCUUCUGAUGAGAGAUCAGAGAGUGUUGCAUACUGACUGAAGUUGAGACUGAUAGUUUUUCGAUCAAGAGUCGGAUCAAAUCUUUUUCAUCCAGAAUUCGGAUCAAGAAUAUGC